GGUAUGUGAGCACUGUGGAAUUGCUUUUAUAAAAAUUGUAGAGAGGAACUAAAUGUUAAUUGGUUUAUUCACCAGUAUAGUAGAUGAACCGGUUACCAUCUGUAGUUAUAUGUAUAUAACUGCUUACUAUUUUAUGUUGAAGUAAAAUAUUUUCAAGAGACCCUUGAUGAGCAAUAAGGACUUGAACAAGCCAAAAUUACUCUUUGAAAGUUUGAAUUCUCAAUAAAUUAAUAGGUUGCAUGGAUCACGAUCUUUACAGUUAUGAACCAUGGUUCAUUUGAUUUGAGCAGUACCAUGUCAUUUCUGUCUAGGACCAAUGCAGCAUGUAGUAAAUUUAGGUCGUACUUUGAUUCCACGCAUCAAAAUCAACAAGUCUAGUUUGGAAAAAUCAGCUAUUAUAUUAAGUGCGUGCAAUUGUCUCUCUAAAGGCACUGAAACCUUUCUUAUGAUCCGUGUUGCUGAUGAAAUCUCAACAUGUCUCAUUCUCAUAAUUGCUCAAGUCAGAUGAAGAUAAUAUAUUGCACUUCUGGUCUGCAUCAAAUGAAUGAGAGAGAGAAAGUGUUGGGUUCCUGAUUGCUUCUAAAAGUAGAAAUGCCUUGUCAACCGAGCAGAAAAAUAUAUAACCUACUCUUCUGCCAUAUGAUUAUGUUCUUAAGGACAUGCCUAAGUCGAUUAGGUCCUUGAUUUCAGGUUUGGAUUAUUAUUCUUGGAAGUCUAAGGAGAAGUGGUUUUCUUCGCA
rnacentral:misc_RNA from 1 species